UCCUACGGGUGGCUGCAGUGGGGAAUAUUGGACAAUGGGCGAAAGCCUGAUCCAGCCAUGCCGCGUGAGUGAUGAAGGCCCUAGGGUUGUAAAGCUCUUUCACCGGUGAAGAUAAUGACGGUAGCCGGAGAAGAAGCCCCGGCUAACUUCGUGCCAGCAGCCGCGGUAAUACGAAGGGGGCUAGCGUUGUUCGGAAUUACUGGGCGUAAAGCGCACGUAGGCGGAUUGUUUAGUGAGGGGUGAAAUCCCAGGGCUCAACCCUGGAACUGCCUCUCAUACUGGCAAUCUCGAGUUCGAGAGAGGUGAGUGGAAUUCCGAGUGUAGAGGUGAAAUUCGUAGAUAUUCGGAGGAACACCAGUGGCGAAGGCGGCUCACUGGCUCGAUACUGACGCUGAGGUGCGAAAGCGUGGGGAGCAAACAGGAUUAGAUACCCCAGUAGUCA
rnacentral:rRNA from 1 species